GCUGGGUCUCAGUGGUAGAGCACUUGCCUAGCAUGCAUGAGGCCCUGGGUUCCAUCCUCAGCACUGCA
rnacentral:tRNA from 1 species